GAGGUGAAGAAAGGAAAAGGGAGGCCACCAUGCCUGACCUCCCCAGGGCCAUAUGGAAUAUAGGAGGAGUUUCUCCCAUGGGAAAGUGGUGCUUGAUUGCAGAAGAGAAAUGGGAAAAAUGGCGGGAUAUAUCAAAACACUGACAAAACAAUAUCAUAAUUGGCAGAAAACUAUGAGAAACCACUGAAGGGCUGUAUACAAGUGAAAAACAAGGGUCUUCUUACAUCACCAUUUGGGACCAGAAGACUCUUUACCAGUGUGAUUUUAAUGUGCUGUAUUACAAAAAACUUCCAAAUUGCCAAGCAGAGAAUGACAAGAGUAAGAUCCAUUUAAAGAAAAAAAAAACUUUUAUAAACAUAUUGCUUAGGUAUGUCACAUCGCACUUAACGUGAUCUAAUGGGAAAUAUCCAGAGCUUUGAAACCUAUACCACUCCAUAACUUAAGCUCUAACUUCCAAAGAAAAGCAAGCAAAGGCUUGACCUGAUGAUCUGGAAAAUUUUACUCUGAAGUUAAAUUUUUCAAAAGGAGGAAAGCAUCUGGGCUUUAAAAAAUAAUGCCUUCUUGAACUAACAGCACCUUGAAUUAGUAUUUCAAAAUAUGAAAUUUUCAACCAUAUUUAGUCAAUUUUUCUCUUAUAUUCCCUGGGACAGAAGGUAGCAUAAGGCAAGUACCCAUUGUUAGCUCUAAUUAUUACACUGCAGGAAGUUCUCUGCAAAAGGUGUGGAUAGAUUAAAUAUGAAUGAAAUAAGUGCUGAAGAAACAUGAGAAAGAGAGGGACCAACUGAUGGUGGCAAGGUGUCUUAGGUCCACAGAGCAUUUUAUUCAUUCAUCGGUACAUCACAAUGAUGGAGAUGAAAUCUGAGAGGUAGUGAUGAAAAGCAAGGACUUGACUUACUAUGUUUUAGCUGAGAUCUGUCACUUAUUACAACUGUGACCUCAAGCAAAUUACCUAAACUCUCUGCACCUCUGCUUUUUCAUGUAGAAAAAGGGAAUAAAAAUUACAUGAAAAGUGUGCAAUUAAAAAAAAAAUCCUGGCAGCCUACUGAAAUAAGGGUCAGAGCCAGAUUUAAAUUGCACUGAGGUAAUAAAGAAAUGUGAAUUUU